rnacentral:tRNA from 1 species
UGCCGUUGCAGGCCGGGCAGACGUUGCAACUUGCAGUGUCGCAAACGCCGGACGGCGUGCGCCUGCAGAUCGUGCCGCAGACGGCGCC